rnacentral:rRNA from 1 species
CGUAGGGCGCGAGCGUUGUCCGGAUUUAUUGGGCGUAAAGAGCUCGUAGGCGGCUUGUUGCGUCAGCUGUGAAAACCCGCAGCUCAACUGUGGGCUUGCAGCUGAUACGGGCAGGCUUGAGUUCGGUAGGGGGGACUGGAAUUCCUGGUGUAGCGGUGAAAUGCGCAGAUAUCAGGAGGAACACCGGUGGCGAAGGCGGGUCUCUGGGCCGAUACUGACGCUGAGGAGCGAAAGCGUGGGGAGCGAACAGGAUUAGAUACCCUGGUAGUCCACGCUGUAAACGUUGGGCGCUAGGUGUGGGGGGCCUCUCCGGUUCUCUGUGCCGCAGCUAACGCAUUAAGCGCCCCGCCUGGGGAGUACGGCCGCAAGGCUA